UACGUAGGGUGCAAGCGUUAAUCGGAAUUACUGGGCGUAAAGGGUGCGCAGGCGGCUCCGCAUGUCGGGCGUGAAAUCCCCGGGCUUAACCUGGGAAUUGCGUCCGAAACUAUGGAGCUGGAGUGUGGCAGAGGGAGGUGGAAUUCCACGUGUAGCGGUGAAAUGCGUAGAGAUGUGGAGGAACACCGAUGGCGAAGGCAGCCUCCUGGGCCAACACUGACGCUCAUGCACGAAAGCGUGGGGAGCAAACAGG
rnacentral:rRNA from 1 species